AGCAACAGCCGCAGCAUCAAAAAGACAAUCCCCUCGCCUUUUACUAGGGGAUUCCGUGCUGCUCCGGCAUUCUAAUGUUGCUAUCUAUCUUUGGAACUUUAUCGCUCUUUGUGCGUU
rnacentral:snRNA from 1 species